rnacentral:rRNA from 1 species
CAACGAAUAAUCCGCAAUGGGCGAAAGCCUGACGGUGCGACGCCGCGUACGGGAUGAAGUCCUUCGGGAUGUAAACCGUAAUAGUCUGUUCACAAGCAACUCGGGCUAAUAUCUCGAGAAGUUGAGUAGCAGACGAAAGGGACGGCUAACUCCGUGCCAGCAGCCGCGGUAAGACGGAGGUCCCUAGCGUUGUUCGGAUUUACUGGGCUUAAAGCGCGUGUAGGCGGGUCGGUGCGUACCUUGUGAAAUCCCUCGGCUCAACCGAGGAACUGCUCGGUAUACGACCGGUCUUGAGGCAGGUAGAGGCGCCUGGAACCUUAGGUGGAGCGGUGAAAUGCGUAGAUAUCUAAGGGAACGCCGGUGGCGAAAGCGGGGCGCUGGGCCUGUCCUGACGCUAAGACGCGAAAGCGUAGGGAGCAAACG